rnacentral:pre_miRNA from 1 species
UUGGCUUGUACAAAGUCAAACUUCUUUAUCUUUGAGAAACUCUAUAGAAAAUGUGCCAACAUCUACAGAACAAAAUACAAAUAGUACGGAAACAUAUUUCAUAAAGAAUCUCAUGAGACUAAUCUCAUGUUUUAGAUGCUAAUAUAUUUUUCUAUAGACGUGGUCAAACUUAAACAAGUUUGACUUUGGACAAGCCCAU